rnacentral:lncRNA from 1 species
GAAAUCUGUUCCACAAGCCACAACAUUGUCCAAUCAGUGCCAGGCCUUUGUAGACCAUCUGCCUGCCUUGAUUCCCUCCCACUCACCUCCCUGCCGUUCUCCAUCCUCCUCUUUGCCUUCACUUUCUUCUACUUCCACAUCCCCUCCAUCCUUGGGAGCAGUCUCUUCCUCUUCAUCCAGAUGUUCUUCUCCUUCACCUGCUCCUCCCACCUCCCCUCCCUUACCUGUUUCAUCUAUCCCUCUUUUGUCCUCUCCCUUGCAGUCAUCUCCCUCCCCCUGUUUGCCUCCAGCAUAUCUGGCUUUUCCCUCACCAGUGCCGCCUCCUUCCUCCUCUUUUAUGAUUUCUUCUCCCUUUCCUCCCCU